rnacentral:rRNA from 1 species
GAUUGCCUACGGGGGGCGCAGUGGGGGAUAUUGCACAAUGGGGGGAACCCUGAUGCAGCAACGCCGCGUGAGUGAUGACGGCCUUCGGGUUGUAAAGCUCUGUCUUCAGGGACGAUAAUGACGGUACCUGAGGAGGAAGCCACGGCUAACUACGUGCCAGCAGCCGCGGUAAUACGUAGGUGGCGAGCGUUGUCCGGAUUUACUGGGCGUAAAAGGAGCGUAGGCGGAUUUUUAAGUGAGAUGUGAAAUACUCGGGCUCAACUUGAGUGCUGCAUUUCAAACUGGAAGUCUAGAGUGCAGGAGAG